rnacentral:rRNA from 1 species
AUUGAACGCUGGCGGCAGGCCUAACACAUGCAAGUCGAGCGGAUGAUGGGAGCUUGCUCCUUGAUUCAGCGGCGGACGGGUGAGUAAUGCCUAGGAAUCUGCCUGGUAGUGGGGGACAACGUUUCGAAAGGAACGCUAAUACCGCAUACGUCCUACGGGAGAAAGCAGGGGACCUUCGGGCCUUGCGCUAUCAGAUGAGCCUAGGUCGGAUUAGCUAGUUGGUGGGGUAAUGGCUCACCAGGGCGACGAUCCGUAACUGGUCUGAGAGGAUGAUCAGUCACACUGGAACUGAGACACGGUCCAGACUCCUACGGGAGGCAGCAGUGGGGAAUAUUGGACAAUGGGCGAAAGCCUGAUCCAGCCAUGCCGCGUGUGUGAAGAAGGUCUUCGGAUUGUAAAGCACUUUAAGUUGGGAGGAAGGGCAGUAAGCUAAUACCUUGCUGUUUUGACGUUACCGACAGAAUAAGCACCGGCUAACUCUGUGCCAGCCGCCGCCGUAAAAC